rnacentral:rRNA from 1 species
UCGGCAUCGAGCAGGGGGAAAAGGAGCAAUCCGCUUUGAGAUGGCCUCGCGUCCGAUUAGCUAGUUGGUGAGGUAACGGCCCACCAAGGCGACGAUCGGUAGCCGGACUGAGAGGUUGAACGGCCACAUUGGGACUGAGACACGGCCCAGACUCCUACGGGAGGCAGCAGUGGGGAAUAUUGCACAAUGGGGGAAACCCUGAUGCAGCGACGCCGCGUGGAGGAAGAAGGUCUUCGGAUUGUAAACUCCUGUUGUUGAGGAAGAUAAUGACGGUACUCAACAAGGAAGUGACGGCUAACUACGUGCCAGCAGCCGCGGUAAAACGUAGGUCACAAGCGUUGUCCGGAAUUACUGGGUGUAAAGGGAGCGCAGGCGGGAGAACAAGUUGGAAGUGAAAUCCAUGGGCUCAACCCAUGAACUGCUUUCAAAACUGUUUUUCUUGAGUAGUGCAGAGGUAGGCGGAAUUCCCGGUGUAGCGGUGGAAUGCGUAGAUAUCGGGAGGAACACCAGUGGCGAAGGCGGCCUACUGGGCACCAACUGACGCUGAGGCUCGAAAGUGUGGGUAGCAAACAGGAUUAGAUACCCUGGUAGUCCACACCGUAAACGAUGAUUACUAGGUGUUGGAGGAUUGACCCCUUCAGUGCCGCAGUUAACACAAUAAGUAAUCCACCUGGGGAGUAC